rnacentral:rRNA from 1 species
GACGAACGCUGGCGGCGUGCUUAACACAUGCAAGUCGAACGAAGUGGCGAACGGGUGAGUAACGCGUAAUCAACCUGCCCUUCAGAGGGGGACAACAGUUGGAAACGACUGCUAAUACCGCAUACUGAAGGAGGGGAUUGCGUCUGAUUAGCUAGUUGGGGGGGGAACGGCCCACCAAGGCGAUGCUCAGUAGGCCGUCUUGGGGGGUGGACGGCCCAAUUUGGAAUUAGACACGGUCCAGACACCUACGGGAGGCAGCAGUGGGGAAACUUCCGCAAUGGAGGGAAGUCUGACGGAGCAAAGCCGCGUGAGUGAUGACGGCCUUCGGGUUGUAAAGCUCUGUUAAUCGGGACGCGGUACCGGAAUAGAAAGCCACGGCUAACUACAUGCCAGCAGCCGCGGUAAUUC